GAGGGUAUAGCUCAGUGGUAGAGCACAUGCGUAGCAUGCGUGAUGUCUGGGUUCAUUCCCUAGUACCUCCA
rnacentral:tRNA from 1 species